GGGGUAGCUCAGCUGGCAGAGCAGCGGACUGUUAAUCCGUUUGUCGUGGGUUCGAUCCCCACCC
rnacentral:tRNA from 1 species